UCAGUCUAUGUAUUCCUGUGUCUCCUACGUACUCCUUGUGUUUGGAUUAGUAGAAGACUGUGGUUUGAAGUGUCUGUAGGGUGGGCUUGUGAAGUGUGCAAGCGGCUUCCCACAAGCAUCUCUCACUGCUGCAAGGGCACAGUGGGUUGGGGCUUGGCAACAGUAUCCACGGCAACAGUUGCUGCAGCAGGCCGGUUAACACUUUACUGACAGAAAAUUGUUCUGAGCAUGUGCAAGAUGACCGCCCUCUGAUAGGAGAAGGUCAUGGUGAGGACACCGGUGAGAUUUUCCCUCUGUUGCCUCAUCCAGUCAUUGUCCUUCCACCAGUUCAAACACACCACAAGAAAAACAUGAAUAAUUCA